UGGCUUCCGGGAGCUAACGCGUUAAGUCGACCGCCUGGGGAGUACGGCCGCAAGGUUAAAACUCAAAUGAAUUGACGGGGGCCCGCACAAGCGGUGGAGCAUGUGGUUUAAUUCGAUGCAACGCGAAGAACCUUACCUGGUCUUGACAUCCACGGAAGUUUUCAGAGAUGAGAAUGUGCCUUCGGGAACCGUGAGACAGGUGCUGCAUGGCUGUCGUCAGCUCGUGUUGUGAAAUGUUGGGUUAAGUCCCGCAACGAGCGCAACCCUUGCCAUUAGUUGCUACGAAAGGGCACUCUAAUGGGACUGCCGGUGACAAACCGGAGGAAGGUGGGGAUGACGUCAAGUCCUCAUGGCCCUUAUAGGUGGGGCUACACACGUCAUACAAUGGCCGGUACAAAGGGUCGCAAACCCGCGAGGGGGAGCCAAUCCAUCAAAGCCGGUCGUAGUCCGGAUCGCAGUCUGCAACUCGACUGCGUGAAGUCGGAAUCGCUAGUAAUCGUGGAUCAGCAUGUCACGGUGAAUACGUUCCCGGGUCUUGUACACACCGCCCGUCACACCAUGGGAGCGGGUCUCGCCAGAAGUAGGUAGCCUAACCGCAAGGAGGGCGCUUACCACGGCGGGGUUCGUGACUGGGGUGAAGUCGUAACAGGUAGCCGUAG
rnacentral:rRNA from 1 species